rnacentral:sRNA from 1 species
GCUGGGUAUGGUGGCACAAGCUUGUAGUCCCAGCUACUUGGGAGGCUGAAGUGGGAGGAUUGGUUGAGCCUGAGUUCAAAGACAGUCUGGGCAACACAGCCAGACCCUGUUGCUG